rnacentral:misc_RNA from 1 species
AGGAGGCCUCUACCUCGUCCAGGGUAUCCUCGAUCUGAUCCGCGGUCGCAUUCUGAUCCGCAUCGGAUCGGCACUGGACGAGAUGCUGAGCCGCCGGGUCUAUGACAUCGUGGUGCGGAUGCCGCUUGUCAUCGGCAACCGCAGCGAGGGACUUCAGCCGCUGCGUGAUCUCGAUCUCGACAACGUCCGCUCCUUCCUGUCCGGAAUGGGGCCGGGCGCGCUGUUCGAUCUGC